rnacentral:lncRNA from 1 species
AGAAAAACCUCAAAUUGGAAGGGUAAAAUUAUGCUCCUUGCCCCUUUGACCUUUUAAUUUGUAUUUUGAAUGUUUGUGUGUGUGUGUGUGUGUGUGUGUGUGUGUGUGUUUGUUUUGUAGGAAUCAUGCACUUUGCACAGAGAAGAUUCUCUGGAUGUGGGUGUGCAUGUGUUUGAGCUCUUGCUGGAGGAUUAUCCCGUUUCAAACAUAACUCUGACUGACGAAAACGGGGUCUUCUCAGUCAGUAAUGCAUUCAAUGAGAGCAGUAACCCAACCGCUCUCAGUCAAGUGCCUCUGCAGUUUGCAGUUGAAAUUCUUCCACCAUCUCAGGGUUGUGUACCAGGCGUGAACAAACCAAGUUUCUUGACACCAACUCCUUUACAUGGAGAUGUGCAUCAUGCCGCUGUGGGAGAGGUGCAUGAGAUCACCCUGCGAGCACAGAUCUCAGACAACAGCAUCUUUGACUUCCAGGUCAGUGGCCCCUCUAAUAUGUCUAAGACCCUGACAAGUGAGAGUAAUGGAGUUUUGGAGGCAACACUGACUUGGACUCCACAGAAGACAGAUUUGUACCGUCGUGUACCUGUGUGUUUCGCAGCAGAGGCACUUCACAGUCAGUCAGAAAUGAGGUGCAUCAUCGUGACUGUGGCAAAAGCAAGGGUUCUUUCAGGUAAAUACAUUAGCAGAAACAUCUUUUACGUAAGGAUUUGAAUACAGAU